rnacentral:rRNA from 1 species
GCAGUAGGGAAUCUUCCGCAAUGGGCGAAAGCCUGACGGAGCAAUGCCGCGUGAGUGAUGAAGGUUUUCGGAUCGUAAAGCUCUGUUGCCAGGGAAGAACGCUUGGGAGAGUAACUGCUCUCAAGGUGACGGUACCUGAGAAGAAAGCCCCGGCUAACUACGUGCCAGCAGCCGCGGUAAUACGUAGGGGGCAAGCGUUGUCCGGAAUUAUUGGGCGUAAAGCGCGCGCAGGCGGUCAUUUAAGUCUGGUGUUUAAUCCCGGGGCUCAACCCCGGAUCGCACUGGAAACUGGGUGACUUGAGUGCAGAAGAGGAGAGUGGAAUUCCACGUGUAGCGGUGAAAUGCGUAGAUAUGUGGAGGAACACCAGUGGCGAAGGCGACUCUCUGGGCUGUAACUGACGCUGAGGCGCGAAAGCGUGGGGAGCAAACAGGAUUAGAUACCCSGGUAGUCAG